AUUGAACGCUGGCGGCAGGCCUAACACAUGCAAGUCGAACGAGUGGCGGACGGGUGAGUAAUGUCUGGGAAACUGCCUGAUGGAGGGGGAUAACUACUGGAAACGGUAGCUAAUACCGCAUACUAUCGGAUGUGCCCAUAUGGGAUUAGCUAGUCGGUGGGGUAACGGCUCACAUAGGCGACGAUCUCUAGCUGGUCUGAGAGGAUGACCAGCCAAACUGGAACUGAGACACGGUCCAGACUCCUACGGGAGGCAGCAGGGGGGAAUAUUGCACAAUGGGCGCAAGCCUGAUACAGCCAUGCCGCGUGUAUGAAGAAGGCCUUCGGGUUGUAAAGUACUGUCAGCUGGGAGGCGUUACCCGCAGAAGAAGCACCGGCUAACUCCGUGCCAGCAGCCGCGGUAAUAC
rnacentral:rRNA from 1 species